AGCGUAGGCGGCAUGGUAAGUCAGAUGUGAAAUCCCGGGGCUCAACCCCGGAACUGCAUCCGAUACUGCCUUGCUUGAGGGUUGGAGAGGUAGCUGGAAUUAUCGGUGUAGCAGUGAAAUGCGUGGAUAUCGAUAGGAACACUCGUGGCGAAGGCGAGCUACUGGACAACAUCUGACGCUGAGGCUCGAAGGCUAGGGGAGCAAAAG
rnacentral:rRNA from 1 species